CCACAUGUAAGCUAGCCGCCUCGAACGUAUCAUAAAGAGGGCCUCACCUGUCACUACCCUUCCUAUUUUUCUGGUUACAGUCACCGAGAGGCCAACAUCCUGCCACAACGUUCAGUGGCCACAUAAAUCCACUCGCGCCAAGCAUAGAUAGAGCCUCUCAAGCCGCUUGGCAACUAGCAGGGCCUCACCUGUCACCAAAACAAUAAG